CGGACAUGUCCAAUAAAUAUUAAAAAAGUGCGAUUGAAUGCCAUUCCUGAACAUGCAAAAAAUAUUUUGAUGUUUAAUUAAUUUGCUUUUUCUUUAAAUUUUAAAACGUAGUUUUGUAAGCUUUGCAAUGGGUAAACCUUCUGGGACCCAUAUAGGAUACCCAGCGGGCAUACCAAUAUAAGCCCCUGAGAAAAACUACGGCCAAGAUGCGGCGGGUUCCGGAUGGGCUUCCCGUAUUUGUCCUAGUUGCAGACCUAAAUACGGGAAGUCUAUCGCCGGGCAUACCUAAAAAUGUGGGUAUAUAUCCAUAUGGGCCCUAUAUGGAAACCCCAACCAAGAUCCAACGGGAUACCAUUGGUCUUUCCAUAUGGGACCCAGUUGACGACCCGUAUGAGCCCCGUACAGUACCCAUAUGUCAAUGUUGGAUUGGUACUCUAUAAAUUUUAGCAUUUAUUAGCCAGGCUUUAAAAGAAAAAAAUUGUCAGUCUUUAAAAAUAAAGGCUGAAAUGUUCACUCUCUUAUAGAAUACAUAGAAAAAUAUUUUACUUGUAAAUAUAUUGUUGUUUCAUUGUUAUCUGGUCUUAUAACAAAUUAUAGGAUUAUUGAAUAUUGUUUUAUUUUAACCUAUGUUAUAAUAUAGUUUAUAUUUAGUUUACAUUAGGAAUUUUUUUAUUGGUUUCAUGUAUGUAUGUAUACAUAAUACCUAUAUUGUAAUAGGUUUCAUGUAUGUGUGUUUGUAUGUAUGUAUGUAUUUGUGUGUGUAAAAAUUUAAAUGUAUAAUUGAACCUAAUAGGAAAAUCAAAUAGUAAAAAAUAUAUAGAAUAUUCAAUCUUUAAAUAGGAUAUACAUAAACAAUAAUAUGAAUUCUUUUGUUUUAUAGGAAAUUUAAUAAAUACUUAUCAAAAAUUGUUGCAAAUGCAUAAACAUGUUGAGAAGUAUGUUGAAUGCUUUUUAAGUUCAAGGUUUUAUCUUGCUUUUUUAAAUAGAAUUGUAGUGUUGCUAGAGAUGGUCUCUACCAACACUACAAUGUUGUCAAAUAAUUUAUGUUUUAAUGACAAGAAAUUGACGUCAAGAUGUUUAUAAUGGUACACUUUAAAGUAAAAUAUAUUUUAUUAAGUUAUCCAAUUACAUUUUUAUGUAUUUCGUUAUAAAAACAGUUUUGGUUGAAUAAAAGAUGAAGGAAAAUGAAAUAUUUUGGUUUUAAUUUUCUACUGGCCUUUAUCAAAUUAUUACAUAAAUGCAUUUGUAGAAGUCAGUUUCAGUUAAAAUGGAAAUUGGUCAGCGGUUGGUUCAGCAUGUUGCUUUAAAUGGUUACUCUGAUGUAGAAUGUGUUCAAAAAUUUUGUUUGUCUAAAAAUAAAUUGAGAUAUUGUAUUGAUUUGUCACCGUUCACAUUUAGAAGCAACCCAAUUUUUUCAAAAGCAAAAAUGCUAUCAAAGUAACUGGGAGUUUUUAUAGAAUAAUUGGUAAAAAUUACAAGUCAAUUAAUAAAAAUUAGCAUUGUUGUCAAAAAGUAAGUAUUCUGCAUAAAGAUUUUUAUUUUUUUUAAUUCAGAAUUAAAAAAAACAUUCGGAAUAUAAUCCUAAUGCAGUUUUUCUUUUUGCUUGUUAACAGUCAUAAUUACACCAUUUAAUCAGCCAAUUACAAUGGAGAAAAUAUAUUUCAAUAAAGUUUACCUUCAGGUAGAUAGCAAUACGCAGCAAUCAAGCUAAAUUAAACACAAGUCAACCAAUUAAACACAAGUCAACCAAUUCGACUUGGCAUUGUACAAAGAACACUAAUUAAAACUAUUUGUUUGGAAAUCGAAGGCGAUAAUAUUCUGUUGAAUGUUACAUAGGCGAAUGUUACAAGGAUUUUUUUUUUUGAUGUUUUAUAUAUGACUUAUUUAAGCAUUAUGCAAACUCCCAACUUAUGUAUGUUCAUGCUUAUGUCAAAUUAGUAUACAAACUUUUAA